rnacentral:rRNA from 1 species
UUACCCGCUGGAUUUAAGCAUAUAACUAAGCGGAGGAAAAGAAACUAACCAGGAUUCCCCCAGUAACGGCGAGUGAAGCGGGAAGAGCUCACGUUGUAAAUCUGCCUUCGGGCCGAAUUGUAGUCUGGAGAGGCGCGGCCAGCCGCUGCCCGGGGCGAAGUCUCUUGGAAAAGAGCAUCAAGGAGGGUGACAAUCCCGUUCUUGCCCCACGGCAGCGCGCGUACGGUCCGUUUUCUAAGAGUCGAGUUGCUUGGGAUUGCAGCUCAAAGCGGGUGGUAAAUUCCAUCUAAAGCUAAACACGGGUGGGAGACCGAUAGCGAACAAGUACCGUGAGGGAAAGAUGCAAAGAACUUUGAAAAGAGAGUUAAAGAGUGCCUGAAAUUGCUGAAAGGGAAGCGAAGGAAACCAGUGUAUGGCGUCGAAGCUUUCCCUCCGCCCCUCGGGGCUCUGGGUCGCGUCUUCGCCUUGGCCAGGGUCGGGUACGGUUGCGGGAGCCUGCGCCGGGGAAGGUAGCCUCUCUUCGGAGGGUGAAGACCCCGGCGUGUCGUCGCGACUGUGGCCGGCUCUGACGAAAUGGUUUUCUUUACCCCGUCUUGAAAACACGGAAA